GCUGCAGGUACAGUGCCAAUUGCAGUAUCAAUUUCAUUUUGUCAAAGAAGUACUCCAUCAGCGUCAAUUGCAGUGUUAAUUGGAGUAUUAAAAUUCUCAAUUGCAAUGCUGAUCUACUGCUGAUGUUAUCUGAAAUUUACAGUGUUUUGUGUCUGUCAAUCAUACUCCAUUCAGUGUCCUGUGUCAGAAAUUUGGUGAAGUGAAGAAAAUCAGGACUAAAUGUUGUCAUCGCCUCCUCUGUUGAUUUGAAGCACCAGCAGUACGGCAAGAAGAGUUGGCAAUUGAAGCAGCAGCGCCACGAAUUGAAGAAGCAGCAGCGCCACGAAUUGAAGAAGCAGCAGCAACACAUCAAUAGCAACAGCAGGCAAUUCUGGAGACAAGAGGGACAACAUAUCAGUUGAAAUAACAGCAGCAGAUCAACAGAAAUAGCAGCAGCUUGCCGGUGGCCCUACUGAAUACAGCAACGCAGAGAGCAUCAACCAAAAUGAACUUUAGUCCAUGAAAGUGCAGAGUUUAAGCUCUAUUCAGCAAAUGAAAACAGCAAUACAGACUAACUCUCUUGCUCUCUUGCUCGAUGGUCUCGACGAGUAAUUUAGAUUACAGAAUAAGAAUAAGAACAAGGGCUUGAGGAUGUUCCUAUGAAUUUUGAUGUGUCAUGUUUCUUUAAGGAAUGGCCAUGCAACAGAAGAACUGAGAGAGGGAGUA